rnacentral:lncRNA from 1 species
AUUUAGAGUCUUGUUAAGGCCAGCAGCCUAUCACAUCAGUGUCUGGGACAUGGCACCCCCGAAGUAAGUUUUUUAAAAACUGAGGAAGUGUAAAGAAGUGCCCAGGCUUAGUGAGCUCUCACGAGGGGACCGUGUCUUACCAGCACCUGCACCUGGAAGCCCCGCCUCACCAGCACCCUGCAGCCCAGCAGCGAGCCCUGUCUGGGAUGGUGCGGGCGCCCCGCCCCAGGGUGGCCGAUGUCAGUGGUGGGGGCGUGUCUACAGCAUGGGAAUUAGCCGGCACUGUUUGCUAGCCCUUGCCCUGUCCCUCGCAGGUGGUUAAAUGUUUGCCAGCCC